rnacentral:ncRNA from 2 species
AACCCUCAGCCCGCCGAAGGUGCCCCGGAAGGGGUGAAAAGGGAACGCGGUGCGGGUCGCAAGGCCCCAGGCCGCGGCUGCCCCCGCAACUGUGAGCGGCGAGCGCUCGCCCAUUCAUGGCCACUGGGAAACUGGGAAGGCCGGGCGAGCGUCGUGACCCGCAAGCCAGGAGACCUGCCUUCGGAAACGCGUCGCA